GAAAUGUACCUCGAAAUGAACGGUCUGGGUCUGGCUAUCUUUCAAAUGGAUUUUCAAUUUUCUUUACGUGAUUGGACAUUCGACCGGUCAAUUGACACCGACUGUCAAUUGAGGACAAUGAAAAUUCGGAGAGAUCUUUUACCGAAACAAACACGAGUAGACACCCCUUCAGUUUAGGUCCUGAACGUGAGAUAGAGUAUUUGUGAAAUACAAAUUUUGAUUUCUUGUUGGAAAGCGAAGAACGAUGGCUGGGAUACGAGACCGCUCGGAAAGCAAUAUCAAGUAUGAGCCAGCAAUUGCCGAAGAUGAGGAUCAUGCGGGAAAUUGCUGCACUAAAACCAAGAACUGGUUCACUAAAUUCCCCAACGCAACUUGGCCGAUUCUGAUAACUGAAUUUGGUGAACGUUUCUCUUAUUAUGGAAUCAAAAGUAAGUAACUGCACUUAGUAAGCC
rnacentral:misc_RNA from 1 species